rnacentral:rRNA from 1 species
UACGGGGGGUGCGAGCGUUGUCCGGAAUCACUGGGCGUAAAGGGCGCGUAGGUGGCGUGAUAAGGGUGUGGUGAAAGCUCGGGGCUCAACCCCGGGUCGGCCGUGCGAACUACUGGGCUGGAGCACUGUAGAGGCAGGCGGAAUUCCGGGUGUAGCGGUGGAAUGCGUAGAGAUCCGGAAGAACACCGGUGGCGAAGGCGGCCUGCUGGGCAGUUGCUGACACUGAGGCGCGACAGCGUGGGGAGCAAACAGG